GCAUCGAUGAAGAACGCAGCGAAACGCGAUAGGUAAUGUGAAUUGCAGAAUUCCGUGAAUCAUCGAAUCUUUGAACGCACCUUGCGCUCCAUGGCAUUCCGUGGAGCAUGCCUGUUUGAGUGCCGCGAAAUCUCCCACCCCUAGCGGUUGCUGCAAGGCGCCGCCGGGCGGCGGGGUUGGUUGGGUGCCGCUGCCUGGGCUUUGGCCCAGGCUCGCCCGAAAUGCAUGAGCGCUUAGCACUCGCACCGUCUCGAGGGAAGGCGGCGGAGCUGGCAUCUGCGCAUGGCAUGAUACGUCAUUUGCUGUGUGGCAGCCCAGCGACCCGAGAGUGUGUGUGCGCUACUACACGCCCUUUCAUUUCUGGUCUCAAAUCAGGUAGGAUCACCCGCUGAACUUAAGCAUAUCAAUAAGCGGAGGA
rnacentral:rRNA from 1 species